rnacentral:rRNA from 1 species
GAGUUUGAUCCUGGCUCAGAACGAACGCUGGCGGCGUGCCUAACACAUGCAAGUCCGACGUGAAAGGGGAGCAAUCCCCCGGUAGGGUGGCAAACGGGUGAGUAAGACAUGGGUGAUCUACCCUGGAGAUGGGGAUAUCCCUCCGAAAGGGGGGGCAAUACCGAAUAGAGUCCGGUUCCGUGAAGGGGACCGGGGAAAGGGAGGCCUCUGGAACAAGCUUCCGCUCCUGGAUGAGCCCAUGGCCCAUCAGCUAGUUGGUAGGGUAAAGGCCUACCAAGGCGACGACGGGUAGCUGGUCUGAGAGGACAACCAGCCACACUGGCACUGAGACACGGGCCAGACUCCUACGGGAGGCAGCAGUGAGGAAUAUUGCGCAAUGGGGGCAACCCUGACGCAGCAACGCCGCGUGUGGGAAGAAGGCUUUCGGGUUGUAAACCACUUUUGCCCAGGACGAAAAGGGGCGUCAGAAUACGGCGCUUCGAUGACGGUACCGGGAGAAUAAGCCACGGCUAACUCUGUGCCAGCAGCCGCGGUAAGACAGAGGUGGCAAGCGUUGUUCGGAGUUACUGGGCGUAAAGAGUCCUGUAGGUGGUUCGUCAAGUCUUUGGUGAAAGGCCGUGGCUUAACCAUGGGAAUGCCAAAGGGACUGGCAGACUGGAGGCUGGGAAAGGGAAGCGGAAUUUCUGGUGUAGCGGUGAAAU